rnacentral:miRNA from 1 species
CGGCCCGCCGCGGCCCUCACGCC